UCGUCUUUUGAUGAACCAUUUGAUAAAAGAUAAUGCCUGCCCAGUGAAAUAUUUAAACGGCCGCGUUAGCGUGAGCGUGCUAAGGUAGCGUAAUAAAUAGCCUUUUAAUUGAAGGCCAGUGAAUGGCAAGACUAGGAAUUUCUGUACUAUAUUAUAUUAAAAAAACUUUUCUUCUGGGUGAAAAGCCCCAGAUCAUAAAGGAAGACGAAAAGACCCCGCGGAGCUUAACCUAAGAAAAUUUACUUAAAAAAAGUAAAAUCUCACAAGUUUGAUUGGGGCAAUCAUGGAACAGCAAAAACUUCCACUAACUACGCAAAGACCUAUAAAAAGCUAAAUAAGAACUAAAAAGUAGCUACCCCGGGGAUAACAGCGUAAUCCAAUCUGAGAGUACACAUCGAAAAUUGGGUUUGCGACCUCGAUGUUGGCUUAGGGAUAUCCAUAUCAGUGCAACCGCUAUAACCGGAUAGUCUGUUCGACUAUUAUACCCCUA
rnacentral:rRNA from 1 species